CUGCAAUGGUUGUAGGAACAGUUCCUCCUGCAUCGUGUGAGGAAUGGACUUGAAAAUAAGAUGUUCAGUUCAGCAAAGAAGCAAACUUCAUUGUUAAUAUAGCACUGGACAACAUUUGACUGUUGGUGGGGUGCCCCUAAAUUCUGGUAAAUAGCCUCUUAGCCAACUGGAGGAGCUGCAGAAAAUAUGACGUGCAGAAGGACUGGAUAUAAAGCAGGUCACAGAGCUGAAGAGAGACACAGCAGCUGCUCAGCAAACAGCAUUAACUGCAGAACUGUGUUUCUUGAGUUAAACGCAGAGUGUCCUCCCUCUAUACAUCCAGGAUUAAAGAGCAGGGCUUCCAAGGCAGAUGGAAUCAUACUUGGAAGGCAUGGAAGAACCAUGAUGCAAAACUAUUUCUAGAGCCUGUGUCCUGGCAAAUGGGCUUGGUGCUCUGGAGUACUCAGCCUUCAGGAUUUACUGGAUGCUGGAGGCAGGGUCAGCUGAGGGGAGCUGCAGAGGUCUUCAUGCAACAGUCAGGGAGAUCCAGAUGUUCAGCUUUCCCCAGGCUCUUCUUGAGAGGCACAGGGUCUCUGGAAACUGGGCAAGCAAGAAACCAUGGAAAUAAAUAUGCUUUGCAAAGACUGUGCACC